GACGAACGCUGGCGGCGUGCCUAAUACAUGCAAGUAGAACGCUGAAGGAGGAGCUUGCUUCUCUGGAUGAGUUGCGAACGGGUGAGUAACGCGUAGGUAACCUGCCUGGUAGCGGGGGAUAACUAUUGGAAACGAUAGCUAAUACCGCAUAAGAGUAGAUGUUGCAUGACAUUUGCUUAAAAGGUGCAAUUGCAUCACUACCAGAUGGACCUGCGUUGUAUUAGCUAGUUGGUGGGGUAACGGCUCACCAAGGCGACGAUACAUAGCCGACCUGGGAGGGGGAUCGGCCACACUGGGACUGAGACACGGCCCAGACUCCUACGGGAGGCAGCAGUAGGGAAUCUUCGGCAAUGGACGGAAGUCUGACCGAGCAACGCCGCGGGAGUGAAGAAGGGUUUCGGAUCGUAAAGCUCGGUUGUAAGAGAAGAACGAGUGUGAGAGUGGAAAGUUCACACUGUGACGGUAUCUUACCAGAAAGGGACGGCUAACUACGUG
rnacentral:rRNA from 1 species